rnacentral:sRNA from 1 species
UGACGAAGCCACAAGGCCUCCUGGGUCGCC